GUAGGUGGCAAGCGUUGUCCGGAAUUAUUGGGCGUAAAGCGCGCGCAGGCGGCCUUUAAGUCUGAUGUGAAAGCCCACGGCUCAACCGUGGAGGGUCAUUGGAAACUGGGGGACUUGAGUACAGAAGAGGAAAGCGGAAUUCCAAGUGUAGCGGUGAAAUGCGUAGAGAUUUGGAGGAACACCAGUGGCGAAGGCGGCUUUCUGGUCUGUAACUGACGCUGAGGCGCGAAAGCGUGGGGAGCAAACAGGAUUAGAUACCCUGGUAGUCCACGCCGUAAACGAUGAGUGCUAAGUGUUAGGGGGUUUCCCGCCCCCUUAGUGCUGCAGCUAACGCAUUAAGCACUCCGCCUGGGGAGUACGGCCGCAAGGCUG
rnacentral:rRNA from 1 species